AUGAAGGGUUUUGAUGAGGCUUGGCGACUCCAGGUAGAAUCCUUUACGCAAAAAGGGAGUGUUGGAAUUAAAGUAAAUGAUGAUAUAGGGCAUUAUUUCCAGACACACAAAGGCCUGAGGCAAGGAGAUCCAGUGUCCCCUAUUUUGUUCAACAUUGUGGUUGACAUGUUGGCAAUUCUCAUAGGUAGGGCAAAGGAGGCCGGUCAGGUGGGUGGCUUGGUGCCCAACCUAGUUGAUGGGGGUGUGUCCAUUCUGCAGUACGCUGAUGAUACAAUCAUCUUUAUGGAGCAUGACCUGACAAAAGCGAGAAAUAUGAAGCUGCUGUUAUGCUUAUUUGAACAAUUGACCGGGUUAAAGAUUAACUUUCACAAAAGCGAGUUGUUCUGCUUUGGUAGAGCCAAGGAGGAACAAGAGGCUUAUAGGCAAUUGUUUGGAUGUGAAUUAGGGUCUUUACCUUUUACUUACCUAGGUAUACCCAUUCACCAUCGUAAGCUGAUGAACAGAGAGUGGAAAUGCAUCGAAGAUCGGUUUGAAAAGAAACUUAGUUGCUGGAAGGGCAAACUUAUGUCAUAUGGAGGCCGGUUAAUUCUUAUUAAUUCGGUGCUCACGAGUAUGCCGAUGUUCCUACUAUCUUUCUUUGAGGUUCCAGUGGGGGUUAGGAAAAGGCUGGACUUCUACCGAUCAAGAUUUUUUUGGCAGAGUGAUGAACUUAAGAGAAAGUAUAGACUCGCCAAGUGGGAUGUUAUUUGUCGACCAAAGGACCAAGGGGGUUUGGGUAUCGAGAAUCUUGAGGUCAAGAACAGAUGCCUGCUUAGUAAGUGGUUGUAUAAGCUUUCAGUUCAGACUGACGCAACUUGGGCGCAGAUUCUCCGCAACAAGUAUCUGCAUUCAAAAACUUUGGCACAGGUGACAGUGAGACCAACUGAUUCGCCGUUUUGGAAGGGGCUUAUGAGAGUUAAGGCAGCCUUCUUUAAUAGAACAAAGUUUAUUGUCGGUGAUGGCAAUGAUACACAGUUCUGGGAGGAUACUUGGCUGGGCGAUACACCAUUGACGCUAUAG
rnacentral:rRNA from 1 species